AAAAAAAAAAAAUUAAAUAUCUUGCAGUGCACAAGUCUAAAAACUACCACCUGUGUAUGAUGAAAGAAUUCAACCAAUCUUCCCACUCACUAAAUUCUUUCUUCAAUAACCAAAUCAUCUUGUUUAGUAUAAUAAAGGCAAAGGUAGAAGGGACACACCUAGAAGAAGAAAUAAGUUUAAAAGUCAACAAUAUUUAAUUGUGAAAAAUACAAUGGGACCUGAAA